rnacentral:lncRNA from 1 species
UUAUUAUUCUCUUUACAAUUUCCGCUUUCUCGUAAUUUGUCGGUCUAUCUAUUCCGAAACAACGCCCGUUUUUCUACUUUACAUGAAACCAUUUGUCAGAAACGUGAUCAAUCACGGACCUAUACGUGACCUCGUUGUCUAGAAAAUUUAACCUCGUCCUCAAGAGCAUCUUCAACAUUUAAAAUUUUCUAAGAAAAAACAUCGGUGAUAU